UGGGAAUCAGUUAUGCCAACCAGGUUAUUACCCUGCUUGAUUGUCCACUCUUCCUGGCAUCUUUGGCAUUUAUAUGAUGAUGGGAAGUCAGUAACCAAUAUCUUGACCACUAUUUUUGGCAGUAAUAGUAUGAAAAUAUUUUUCCAUAAAAGGCAAUAGAUAAAGUUAUAAACAUGCUGAGAAAAAUUUUGUAGCUGUAUACUCAAUGAAGAAAAGUCAUCUGAAAAUGAAAGAUUCUAAACUGUGGUAUGGUAUUAAAUCUAGAUAUAGAAUAG
rnacentral:misc_RNA from 1 species